ACCGGUAACUAUUUUUUGUUUCGGAAAUUCAAACCAGUGUUCGGAAACGAAGAGAGAAACCCUAGAGAGCAUUGUCAGUGUCAGUAUGCGUUGACUACAACACAGAUACAGUCGUCAGAGCCGGAAAGGACGAAGGAAGACGCCGAGGAGUGCUGGGAAAUGAAGGAUUCCCAGUCUCUCGCGUCGCGGUGAGGAAUUUGAAUGGGUUUCCAAGUCUAGCUUCAAUUAAAGGCAAAUUCCUGCAAAUUGUCGGAUGGUAUGGAAUCAAUCCAUGAUGCUGAUUUCGUUUCACAGUGAAGAAGAAACUGGACUUUGGAGUCUGAGCCAAGAAUUGAGAUUCCUCUGGAAUUUUGUUUGAGUGAUGAACCUUUUAUGGUGGCCACUGAUGGACAUAGUGUCUCCUAUAAUGUACGCACGCAAAAGCUCAAAUACCUUCUUUUUUAUGGAAUUGAAGAUAAUCCAUGUACUGAAGUUGUUGUUUAGGUCGAGAUCAUUGUUUCUGUCAAUGGAGACAACAAGUUUAAGGGCGCAGAUCCAAACAGACUCUCUGCAAGGUAGAUGCAAGUUCAGCCAAAACUCAAAAUGAAGCUCCUGGGCUGAGUUCCGCAGCCCAUGCUGAAUCAGGGAAGAGGUAGACCAAUGGGCAGAGGAAAAGGGAGAGCCACAGGCAAAGGCAAUGAAACUCAAUUUGCAUCUUCUUCUCGAACACUAAGAAGAGGAAGAGGCAGUCAAGCCAUGUCAUCAUCAAGGCGAAUGGAGUUCACACAGCAAUCUGCUGUAUUGCCAUCACCUUCACAAACUGUGACAAGAGGAAGAGUUCAAGGCGGGGCCAAUGUAGCAAUGGCAACUUCACAAGACUUGCCCUUCCGACCAUCAACUUCGGUUAAUGCCAAGCCCAGGGGAAGAUCAAAACACUUCAUUUGGAAACCAUGAAGUAUAGAAUCUGCUGUUGGAGUUGUGCAACUGAAAGCAACCUGAAGAGAGUUCCUUAUUGCAGCUUCUGAAUGAAUAGAGCUGCACCAAUUAUAAAGUCGAGCCCCAACUCUGACCAUUAUCAGCCUUGCAAGGCCUUAACAACAACAUUCAUUAAGUAGUUUUAAUGAAGCAUGUUUGGAAGCUGCAUUCAGUGGGCUUUUGAAUGGUAAGUUUAUUGCUUAAUUAUUGGUAAGAAAUAAUUAAAUGCAUAGACUAAUUAUGGUUAGUCUUUUAAACAUGUGGCACAAUCUGGAGGGAGGUAAGGCUACACAAUGGUUAGGGGGUGAGUAAAAAUGCAUAAACUAACUCUUGACUGACUGGCUUAAAUUCUGUAAAUUAGGACAUCUAUAGUCCAUUUGGAAAUGCUUCUCUAAGAAACAGUUUUUCUGGAAGCUUUUUAUGGUAUAUCCAUGUAGAAAUGAAGAACAUUAAACUUAUAAUUAUGCUGAACACUGGGCAAGCCAAAUUUAAAUAGUGUGUUGCUAUUCCUACCUGAUGUCAUGUCCUCAACCACCAUUAGGGAAAAUCUUAACAACAAAUUUAUUCAUUCAUAAAUGACCUUGAUACCUUUUAUUUAUCGUAAUCUAGCCAACUCUGUACUCCCACAUAGACCUAGUAAACCUAUAUUAUUUCCGCCCCAUCUUCUUUAGUUGGAUGCAGUGCUCCAAAUAAAUCUUUUCAAGGGAUCUUCUCUCGUUGCAGAUUAUUGAUCACCAUGUUUUCUUUUCUUUAAUUUCCAUUGUUUAAAUUAAUCACGACUGACACUAACAUAAAGCUUCACUUGAGUUUUGGUUUCUCUAUACAUAAAGAAGAGUAAUUCGCCGAUUCCCCCCCCCCCCCUAACUUGUAUCCCAUUGCCAAUAUUACCCAUAAAGUUUUAUUGUUGCCAGUUUCUUCCCUAAAAGACUAUGAAUGACCAAUUUCUCCCUAUCUUCAAAUUUAUCCAAAUUGCAUUCAAAAAGUAGCAUGUUGGUCAUUAAAUCUUCUAUUAUGUUUGUUAUAUUUUCUUUCUUAAUGUUGUUAUUAUUAAUUUUGAAAUGUGACAUUUUCAAUAGAAGGUUUAGAUGAAAUGCGGGGAAACAUGGCCGUAUGGGAAAAUUGGCCAUUUAUAUUAAUUUAUUGGGAAAUUGUCAAAAUACUCUUGAUUUAGGAAACUGAUAUCCGCACACCCCAUUCCCCCACCUACAGACCCCUGUUUAUUUAUGUUCCUUGAUUCUCCUUUUGAUUUAUUUAGUAUAAUAUCCACAAAUAUAUAGGGUGUUAAAAAAAAAUGGUGCGCGGGAAUCAUGUCCUAUAUAUAUAUGGAUUAUUGUUCACUUCUUUCUUGAUAUAAAUUGUAAUGUAAAGUAUGUUCUCGAGACAGAUAAUAAAUGGCAUCCACAUUUGGACCAUUUUUUUUCCUUUUUAGUUUAUAUAAGUCCAAUGGGUCCCCCGAACCGUUCCAUCAUCAAACAGCAGCAAAAGAAGAAGAACAAACCCUAGAGAGAAAUAUCAGUAUGACUGAGCUUUGACUAUAACAGAGAGAUUAGUCAGAGCCAAGCGGAAAGAAGCAACUAGUGUUUGGAAAUGAAGGAAUCUCAGUUGCUCCAAAGAGGAAUUUGAAUGGAUUUUGAAGUUUAAUCAAUUUCUCCUCUUGGACUCGGCACAAUCGGAAAUCCAAGGUAAGAUUUCCCUUGAUCUUGCUCCAUCAUUGUUCUGCCUUAUUUAAUUUGCUGAAAAGCAUAAAAGGAAACGUAGAAGAGGAGAAAUUAAUUAAUUAGUUCAUGGCAAAGUCGAGUAAUUUGACGGAUGAUAUGGUGGUGCAAAUCCUGUCUCGAUUACCACCAAAAUCUUUGAUGCGAUUCAAAUGCGUCCACAAGCUGUGGUGUGAUCUAAUUGAUAGUCCUAGCUUUGUGGCGAGUCACCUUUCUAACUCGAAUUUGAAAUCGAAAUCAGAUUCCUCCACCAGCAUUGUUGUAAAACAUACUGUUAAAAAUGUGGAGGAUGAUAGGAAGCACGUUUUAUUGUCAUUGCUUAAUGUUUGCAAGGAUGUUAGCGACGAUGAUGACCGUGUUGAGGAUCUUGGUGCUGUGUAUCCUUUGCUGAGUAUAUCUUCCCCUAAUUUUGAAAUUGCGGGUUAUUGUGAUGGGAUUUUUUGUCUAAGUCUUCACUUGUGUCCCGAGGAUAUUGCUUUAGUCAAUCCAGCUAUCAUGGAAUUUCAGUUUCUUCCCAAGUCUUGUCUGCUCCUCCCUCCCCCACAACCAGAUGUUGCUGAUGGAGUGGAUACCAUUACCAAUGCCAUCGGAUUUGGGUAUGAUUCCAAAGCUGAAACAUACAAGGCGGUUAGAAUUGUGAAAUUUUUGCCAGGGCCUAGAAAAGCAGAGGUAUGCACUUUAGGUGCUGAUUCUUGGAGAGAGGUCAAGUUUGAAAUCGAUUGUUCUGUCAUCUGGACACCUUCUUUUUAUUUCUACUUCAAGGGGGUUUUUUAUUGGUUUGCUACGGAUCUCCAUAAUAACGAUUUCAUCCUUACAUUUGAUAUGGGUGAGGAGGUAUUUCGUAAUAUACCAGUUCCGUAUGAUUCCCUGGAGAGAUUUGCAUGGAAUUGCAGCCUUGCAGUAUGGAAUGAAUCCAUUGCUUUGUUUUGCUACUGCAAAGAUGAAGGAACUGGACUUUCUAUCUUUGAUAUAUGGGAGAUGGAUGAUUCUACCGAUGGGGUAAAAAGUCCGUGGAGUAAGAAACGCUUAACAAUCGAAUCUGUACCAAGUAUAGAGAUUCCAUUGGUAUUUUGGAAGAAUGACGAGCUUCUUCUGACGGCCACUGACGGAUGUGUUGUCUCCUUUAACAUACGCACUCAAAAGCUCAAAGACCUUCCUAUUCAUGGCAUUGAAAAUCCACUAUAUAUUCAAGCUGUUCUUUAUGCAGAAAGCCUUGUUUCUGUCAGGGGAGGCAGCCAGCCUCUGGCUAUAGACCCAAACAGAUCCACUGGAAGUGUAUCGUUCGAGUUGUACUUUUACCCGAGGCAUGUAUGAGCUUAUGCACUGGAAAUGGCUAAGCUGCUGGAUCUCAGGAAAGAGUACGUUGGGGAUAUCGCGUGAGGAAAAUAUUACAUUGCAGCUCCUGUAUUUUAUAAAAUCUAGAGGCCCAGCUCCGAUCAUCGUCAUUUUCGGCAGGCCUUAACCGCAACGGUCUUGUUACAUGUUAUGCCCAAACUUUUGAACUGACCGGCUUAAACCCAUAAUGCUUGGGUUGGCUAAUCAGAAUCUGUUCGUGUCCAAUCUGAUUUCAAACUCGAUUGAGCGGGUUAGAAUGAAGAAAAUAUUUGCCCAAAUUUAACCUGACCUCAAUCCAAUCGUUUAUUGGGUUGGGUUGAUGCAUUUCCGGUCCAUGUCAACCCAAAUUUAACUCCAUUUUAAGCCCA